AAGCUCAGAAAUCAGGAGGUGAAAAACGACAAAGACAAGAAAGAUCGGGCAUGGGUGUUGUAGGAUAGGCCUGGUCCUGGCGUUUUGGGACACUACGUGACGUCUUUAUAGGUGUUAGUAUCUGAUGUCAGCAAAACACUGAAGCGAUAUGGGGAAGAGACUCUACAGGACUCCCGCCGUUUAACAGUGAAAUCUGAGCUGACCGAUAAGGAUGAGAAAAAGUACUACUGUAACGUCACGUCGUCGGAUGUAACCGUCCAGCAGCUGCGCUGCAGCUCCAGACUGUGCUAUCCUGUGUUUAUACUGCUCUCCUUACAAUACUGUGGCAGCUGCCCUGACUCGGGUUUCGGGAAGGAGCUAGAGACAUACUUCCUGGAAAGCUUGGUGAGACGGAAUGAAAGGACCAUGUGCUUGUAGACCGACCAGAGCAGGUGCUGUCCUGUUACAGUGGACGUCUGCAGCAAAGCAGUGUGCAAGGGAACCAGUCAGUGUCCAGCACAGCAAGGAGCUUAUGGAGAUGCUGGUCGUGAUCCGGAUGCUCCAACUUUCAGUUAAGUAUACAUCGCUAUACACGUCGUUAUAAUUACAUGCUCAGUAUUUUUGUGUUUUAAUAAAGUAGA